UUGUCGUUUGUCUCUUGACUCAAGCAAUUCUGCAACGGGCACAAGUAAAACGGGAUUAUCUUCCUCUAAAUUCCUAUGUAGCAACAUAUCCAUUAAUUAAUCAUAAUUACAAUAAUUUAACUAAAUUAGAGGUUGUUGAUUUAUUACUUCCUAAAUUAACACGUGUUCGUAAUUAACUGGAAACGGAAAGGAUCUAUUGAACCUGUUCUAUUUACGGGAGAUGCGUUAAGUUUUGUCAUCCUACUGGUGUUUGAGAUGAGAUAGCACGUGGGCAAGGAGGUCAAAAGCAUCCACCUCAACAGUAAACUAUAUUCAGCACUUGAUCGCCCGUGUGAAGAUUUCAAAUCCGUGUAAGGUGGUGUUUGGGAGUGGUAGCGAUUGGUGCUGGAGGCAUUGGUAAUGUUGAAAGAAGUGCAGGAUGAAAUGGAGGAAGAUGAGGAAGACGGAGAGGCUGAGGAAGAUGAUGAAGACGAUGACGAGGUUAGACUCCCAAAUUAUUUUCUAUGGAGUUUUAUAAGGGAUGCCAUAUUUAAUUUCCUCCAACGCAGUAUCAACCGAGAAGGGAAAAUAAAUCUAUUGGCUACCUGAGCUUCUCAUCAAUGUAUGCAGCUGUUGUUUACAUCAGCUGAUGACUAUAUAGCAAAGUGAUGAAUCAUGCCGGGAAAUUGGAUUUUCCUGGGGAUUAUGCUUGUUACCCAUCCAGUUAGGAGCAUAUUAUUCGUUUCUACAUCUGAAAAUCAUUUGCAAGCUUAGCUCUGGUUUUGUUCUUCUGAUUAGGACUCCGAGGGGGAUGAGCUUGAAGAAACCGAAGAGGACUUUCUGGAAAGGUAUGCAAGAGCAGCCACUGCCUUGGAAAAUGGUACGGUUGGUGGAAGAUCAGGAGCAUGAAGUUGAGCUCGGUAAAUCUGACUAUACAUUGUUCUCUAGAAAGUGUAAUAACUAUUUGCAAAGGAGCAUGAAGUAGCAUUACAGGUUUCUCUUCCUACCUAUUUGCAAAGGUGAUUUCAACUGCUGCUCCUUCGGUUAUAAUUUAUGAUCUCAAAAUUACUACUUACUAUGCGAGCAAUAAUCACUUUGAAUUUUCAAGAAUUGCACUAAAAUUUCAUUUUAAAGGAAAUGUUAUGAAUGCAACAGAUUGAACU